rnacentral:rRNA from 1 species
GACGUAGGGCGCGAGCGUUGUCCGGAAUUAUUGGGCGUAAAGAGCUCGUAGGCGGCUUGUCGCGUCGGCUGUGAAAUCCCGUGGCUUAACUGCGGGUCUGCAGCCGAUACGGGCAGGCUAGAGUUCGGUAGGGGAGACUGGAAUUCCUGGUGUAGCGGUGAAAUGCGCAGAUAUCAGGAGGAACACCGGUGGCGAAGGCGGGUCUCUGGGCCGAUACUGACGCUGAGGAGCGAAAGCGUGGGGAGCAAACAGG